UGGGGAAUUUUGGACAAUGGACGCAAGUCUGAUCCAGCCAUGCCGCGUGCGGGAAGAAGGCCUUCGGGUUGUAAACCGCUUUUGUCAGGGAAGAAACGAGUUUCUCUAAUACAGAGACUUAAUGACGGUACCUGAAGAAUAAGCACCGGCUAACUUCGUGCCAGCAGCCGCGGUAAUACGUAGGGUGCGAGCGUUAAUCGGAAUUACUGGGCGUAAAGCGUGCGCAGGCGGUUAUGUAAGACAGAUGUGAAAUCCCCGGGCUCAACCUGGGACCUGCAUUUGUGACUGUAUAGCUAGAGUACGGUAGAGGGGGAUGGAAUUCCGCGUGUAGCAGUGAAAUGCGUAGAUAUGCGGAGGAACACCGAUGGCGAAGGCAAUCCCCUGGACCUGUACUGACGCUCAUGCACGAAAGCGUGGGGAGCAAACA
rnacentral:rRNA from 1 species